GAUGAACGCUAGCUACAGGCUUAACACAUGCAAGUCGAGGGGCAGCAUGGUCUUAGCUUGCUAAGGCCGAUGGCGACCGGCGCACGGGUGAGUAACACGUAUCCAACCUGCCGUCUACUCUUGGACAGCCUUCUGAAAGGAAGAUUAAUACAAGAUGGCAUCAUGAGUCCGCAUGUUCACAUGAUUAAAGGUAUUCCGGUAGACGAUGGGGAUGCGUUCCAUUAGAUAGUAGGCGGGGUAACGGCCCACCUAGUCUUCGAUGGAUAGGGGUUCUGAGAGGAAGGUCCCCCACAUUGGAACUGAGACACGGUCCAAACUCCUACGGGAGGCAGCAGUGAGGAAUAUUGGUCAAUGGGCGAGAGCCUGAACCAGCCAAGUAGCGUGAAGGAUGACUGCCCUAUGGGUUGUAAACUUCUUUUAUAAAGGAAUAAAGUCGGGUAUGGAUACCCGUUUGCAUGUACUUUAUGAAUAAGGAU
rnacentral:rRNA from 1 species